rnacentral:rRNA from 1 species
GACAGCAGUCGCCACGGUAAUACGUAGGGUGCGAGCGUUAAUCGGAAUUACUGGGCGUAAAGCGUGCGCAGGCGGUUGUGUAAGACAGGUGUGAAAUCCCCGGGCUUAACCUGGGAACUGCGCUUGUGACUGCACAGCUAGAGUAUGGCAGAGGGGGGUGGAAUUCCACGUGUAGCAGUGAAAUGCGUAGAGAUGUGGAGGAACACCGAUGGCGAAGGCAGCCCCCUGGGCCAAUACUGACGCUGAGAAGCGAAAGCAUGGGGAGCGAACAGGAUUAGAUACCCGUGUAGUCCCUGUCUCUUAUAC